UGCCACAGCCAUAUCAUAGCAGGGGGUGCUCACCCUGUAGUCUGUGUGGGUCCUAACGCCCCAGUGUAGUGAUGAGCCUGGUCAGUACCUGGAUGGGAGACUUCUUGGGAAAACUAGGUUGCUGUUGGAA
rnacentral:rRNA from 1 species